AGCACAUGGGAGUCUGUAUCAGUGAGCAUUUAGACAUUAGGUGCAUCUGGUGUCUAAAUGCUCACUGAUCCAGACUCCCACGGG